AUGGCUGCCUCACCUCACAGCCCAUUCCUGCCACCUCCCUGCCCAUACCCACCCAUGUGCUCACCUGCCUCAUCCACACACAAACGUAGUUGUUCUCACACAUGGGCUGUGUGUCCACACGCUGUCACACACAUGCCCCUCGUGUCCACACAACUCAUCCCGUGUCCACAUGCUCACAUAUGUGCCGUGUCCACGAUCUCACGCUGUGUCCAAUCACACAUGCCAUGUCCACACGCUCUCACACACGUGCCAUGUCCACACGUUCUCACACACGUGCCAUGUCCACACGCUCUCACAUGCCAUGUCCAGAUGCUCACACAUGCCGUGUCCACACAUUCACACACAUGCUGUGUUCACACGCUCUCACACACAUGCCGUGUCCACAUGCCCCAGCAGACUACAGAACUGGUCUGUGCAAAGACCAGGGCUGGAGCUGAUGAGAGCCGGGGGGCUGGGAUGGAGGGUGUGAGAGGCCCAGAGGAGCAGCCAGUGGCAUGGGCUGCCCCCACCCCCCUGCACACUCUGCUGCUUGCCCGAGGGCCUGGUAUAGAGCUGCACCCCCAGGCUGUCCAACUGCUGGCUCCCCACCUCACUGAGGCGUCUCUCCCCCAGCCCAGUGGACCUCAUGCAAGGGCAGGUCUGACCUGGGUGCCACAGCCCCAUCCCUGCCGUGAGGCCUGGGCUGGACCUGAGCUGGGACCGCACACACCAGCCUGGGGGGUGUCACACUGGGUGGGGCUGGGAGUGAGGGGCCCACCCUAG
rnacentral:lncRNA from 1 species